GCAGUGGAAGUUCAGUGGUAGAAUUCUCACCUUCCAUGUGGGAGACCUGAGGUUCGAUUCCCAGCCAAUGCA
rnacentral:tRNA from 1 species